GGGGGGGGGGGGGGGGGGGGGGGGGGGGGGGGGGGGGGGGGGGGGGGGGGGGGGGGGGGGGGGGGGGGGGGGGGGGGGGGGGGGGGGGGGGGGCCCGCGGGCGGCGGCUGCGGGCGGCCCUCGAGGGUGGGGGGCUCGUCAGAGCCCCUCCGGGGUGCUCCCCGAGCUGGGGGUACCCUCGUGUCCCCUCACGCGGUCUCUGUGUGUGCCCCCCGGCUUGGUGUCCAUUUACGUCCCCUCACACGGGCUCUGACCCUCAGCCCAGGCGUGGGAUAGUGAAGAGUCCAGUGCCACUGGAGUUGGGACUCACUGUGUUUGUGUGGAACCUGGGCUUGAAGAGCCACCCAAGUGCUGGAGUUUUUGGGAAUUACUGUCACCCUUGUUCCUACCAAGUGAUGCUGCAGGUGAAGCCUUCAACCCUCAUGGGGGGUGGUGUUAACUGGAGUUUCGUGGGUGGCUUUUUCCACUCUUCCACAAGCUUUGUUCUGCCUGCGGUUUCUGUUGGAACACAAAGAAUAGUUCCUAAUUUUCAUCCUGCUUUUGUGCACUCCCCAAGAUCUGUGUUUGCCAAGAGCUUUUAUCCUGCAGUGGGGCCGGGUGACUGAUGUCUCGGGGUUGUUGCUGUAGAGUGUGUGUUCAAUGUGUUUCAAAUCCCUUUCU
rnacentral:lncRNA from 1 species